AAUAGAUACCCCGGUAGUCCACGCCGUAAACGAUGGAUACUAGCUGUUCGGAGUAAUCUGAGUGGCUAAGCGAAAGUGAUAAGUAUCCCACCUGGGGAGUACGUUCGCAAGAAUGAAACUCAAAGGAAUUGACGGGGGCCCGCACAAGCGGUGGAGCAUGUGGUUUAAUUCGAUGAUACGCGAGGAACCUUACCAGGGCUUAAAUGUAGAUUGACAGGUUUAGAGAUAGACUUUUCUUCGGACAAUUUACAAGGUGCUGCAUGGUUGUCGUCAGCUCGUGCCGUGAGGUGUCAGGUUAAGUCCUAUAACGAGCGCAACCCCUGUUGUUAGUUGCCAGCGAGUAAUGUCGGGAACUCUAACAAGACUGCCAGUGCAAACUGUGAGGAAGGUGGGGAUGACGUCAAAUCAUCACGGCCCUUACGUCCUGGGCUACACACGUGCUACAAUGGUAGGGACAGAGAGCAGCCACUUCGCGAGAAGGAGCGAAUCUAUAAACCCUAUCACAGUUCGGAUCGGAGUCUGCAACUCGAC
rnacentral:rRNA from 1 species